UACGGGGGGGGCAAGCGUUGUUCGGAAUUACUGGGCGUAAAGGGCUCGUAGGCGGCCAACUAAGUCAGACGUGAAAUCCCAGGCUCAACCUGGGAACUGCGUCUGAUACUGGAUGGCUUGAAUUCGGGAGAGGGAUGCAGAAUUCCAGGUGUAGCGGUGAAAUGCGUAGAUAUCUGGAGGAAUACCGGUGGCGAAGGCGGCAUCCUGGACCGACAUUGACGCUGAACGGCGAAAGCUAGGGGAGCAAACGGG
rnacentral:rRNA from 1 species